CAUUGGAACCGGAGAAGUCCACAUGCACUUCCCCUCUGAGAAGGUACGCCGCAAUUUUACUGACCUUAACUAUACUAGAACAUCAUGCGCCCUUCGGGCGCCCUAUUAUGACUUUAAAACAAAUAUCCACAUUCAAUAAACAUAUGGCUUACACCUAAGCAAAACAUAGAUAUAUAAGCUCUGCUCGAUCCAGUCUAAAAGCAUACGAAAAAAUCUCUUUCCUAGAAUCAAUACUUUGCAAACCUAAAUACUCCAAGUUACAUAUUAAGAUCAAGUACAUCUUACACCAACUUAGCCAUGUUAAUAAACUAAUGGCUAAUUAAAUAAUCACCUUGUGUUUGUAGUAAAAAAUUUGUAAAUGAAGCUACUUUGUAUAGUACUCUUCAUAUUUUGACAGUUGCUUAGUUUGGUUGCAAAGAGAAACACAGUAUAAACAUUGGGUAUAAUUGUUUCUAAUAUUAACACCAAAAUCAUGCAUUAGGGAUCACAUAUCAUACUAUUAUAAGAAUAAUAUCAUAUUCCUAAAAUAACUUUGUGCUUGAAUCCUCAUCAAGUCAGUGAGUUACUAAUCUGAUAAUAACAGCCACCACCACCGGCUAAGAAAUGCAUAAAGAACUUCUGUAGACCAAUUCAUACCCCUAUAGUCAGUCACAUUAACCAGCUCGCAGCCACAUCUUCGAAAAUGCAAUACACAGUAGGGAAAAUAUUCUUCUGAGUGUCCAUGAAUGUUAUUUCGACAUGCUAGAAGUAAUGUCUUUGAGAAACCAGGAACGUCAUACACCGGAAUAUAAGCUUCGAAGAAUGUUGCCAACAUUUGCUCUUCAAGUGGAGAGAAUGCUCAGGUUGCCUAUGCAUCCUGGAAAUAAAAUUUCAAGUGAGUUUAUUUGAAGAGUAGACAUCGAUCUAUCUACAUAUCCUUUUUGUGCUAAUAUUAUUUAACAGAAACACCACAAAGAUAAAAACAUACACCUUCCAUUUUCUCACUUGUUAUCACAGUCCACAAAUAUGUCCACGUAAAGGAAAACAACUUUGUAUUCUAGGUGGUAGUAGGAAUCUGCCAGGCAAAAAAUAGUACCCUUGCAGAAAAAGGAACCCCAAAAUCUGACUUUUUCUUUUUUGGCAAUGCAGAAGUGGUUCAGAAUAAUAUCGCUAUGUGAAUGCAUUCUCUAAUUAAUAAAUCAUUUACUUUUGUUUACCUGAAACAUCUUCCACACAUUCUUCUUCUCAAGGAUAACCCAUGCAUCUAGCGAAUGCUGAAAAAAAAACAGAAUAAUUACCCAAGUGAUUUCACUUAUCAUGUUACCCCCUAUCAUAAAAAACAUCAAUACACCAUUUAAACACAUUCCGUCUAGCAUAUCCUAACUGUGUUACUGCAUAUACAUUGUGCCUGAAGGAAUAAAUAUCCAGGCCCCCUUUGGAACACAGGAUAGGAAAAGUAUAGGGAUAUGUUCUCCUAAUCCUGUAGGAUUCAAUAGUACUGGAAAAUAGAUAGGAAGCUCUUUGGUAGCACCAUAGGAAAAGCAAACGAAUUUCACACAACAGUUGGAAUUUGAAUAGCUAGCAGUUGCAUUUCGAAAAGGCACAUAGAUAGCAUAUCUCCAAAUUUGCUCAGUCACAAAUGGCAUACAACAACAUAUAUCUGUAUAUGCAUCCAAUCUGAUGAACAAUGUAGCAGAAGAAAAAAAAAGGAACUUAACAGAAAACAGAGCUGCUGAUAGCACGGGCACGUCAGUAGUGCGUAUAGACGAAGUGCACCUCCCAUCGUAGUCUCAUUCAUAGGUCAACACAAAUCUUCCCAAAUCGAAAUAAGAAUAUCCAUUCUUAGAUUAGGGGGGAAGAAAAUGCCUAAGAUAGACAUGAAGCUUACAGAUCUUGGAAGCUAGAGUGGCUGUCGCACACUGCAACCUCGUGGGUUUUGAUUUGGGAUCUUGGUUCAUGAGGAUUGGGGAGGGUGGCGUUGCGUAGAUCGCGAUUGAGCCGACAUGCGUGGUCGGCCGCCUCCAUCCUAUAGGGUAGCUUGCUUCUAUCUCACGUUCUUUUUUCCCCUUCUCUCUUUCCACCUAUGCAGCCCUCCGCAGGCCACAGGCAUCAGGUGAAGUCUGUCCUCCUGCAGCUAAAAAAUUCAGUGUGAAUAAACCCAACCAAAAAACGAAUUGACAAGUUUUUUGGGGGUGCUGCAAUAAGAACAGGAAGACGGUAACUACUACCUGAAACUUCAUAAACGCUUAUAAACAGUAGACAUCCCUUUUCUUCUUCAUAACAUACCGAUACCCAGCUCUCCUGCGUGUGUGAGAAAAAAUAUAUAAACAGUCUACUGAAAAGACUAUCAGACGUAUGCAGAGGAGUGUUCUAAUUCUUCUAUUACAUGCAAGGGAAUCAUAGGCUAAAACCUCAAUAAAAGUAGCAAUAAUUUAGUUCCAUUCUAUCAGAAUAUCCAGAUCCAGCGAAUUAGUUCACAACCUAAGCACACACCCCAAAUGAUGAAACAAAAAAAAAAGAUGUCAAAUUUUCAUUCACCCGCCCAAGUUUAAUGGUUAGGCACUAUACAAAACUGAUGUCCAUAAAAUACAGGGAAUGAAGGAACUUAGAUUACCUUUUGGAAGCAGUAAUUGCCUGCAAAGUAGUAAUGUAGUAAAAUGAUACAUUUUUAUUACCUUGAGGUCCUUGUCAAGCCUUUCCAGCCAACACAAGCAGCAAAUUGGUCUUGCCUGAUUUUGGUGGUCCUAACAGAAGUGGCAUCCUAAAAAACAUAAAGAAUGUGUGGUUAACUUAUGGAAGAACCAAAAAAGUGAGUUCCUGUUGUCCGAAUCACUAACAAUUCCGGUCAAUGAAACAAGCCAAACCAAUAUGGUUACUCUAACUGUCGAUAAAACAUCACAAAAAACUAUCCAGAUGGGAAACAAUUUGACUCUCUUGAGAACAAAAAAUGCAGAGCAAUUAUUGUGCACUGCCUGUGAAGCUGGAUGAUUUUACUAAUGUGAGUGGAGGAAAAGCAUGGUCCGCUUCCUACUGGGUAUAUGCAAUGACUCCCCUAAUGCCAUUCAUGCUUUUUUUUGCAUUGAACAAGCAUGUAGUACCCACAAACAGAUCAACGUAUUAUUUAAAUUACCAUAUUAUUACAGCUACUCAUAAUGUAUCAAAAGAAAAUCUUCACAGAUAUUGCUAGUUCCAAUGAAGUACCCACAAAUAGACCAAACAUGUUUAUUCAUUCUAAACCACAACUAUAUAGAUUCUAGUCCAAGGUAAAUAGGCAACCUACCAAUAUGCACACCAGAUUAAAAUCAAUGUAUAUUUGGAACAAAAACACUAUGUCAACAACAUCAGAAUAGUAAGAUAUAUUCUUGAGUGGAGGCGGAGUGUUGGAGGCGGUGGUGCCAGACACGCAGGGCGUAGAGGAGCGGAAGUAGAAGUGGAACAACGGCAGGAAAAUGAUGCUGGAGAAGACGAAGCAAGCAUGGGGGUCGCCACCGCGCCGUCGCCCGUCUGACCUCUCCAAGAGAGGCACCUUGUGUCAUGGUGCAGCUAGCGUAGACCAGACGGAUCCGCCGCCGUCGGGGCCAGAUCUACCGCCGUUGAGGUCGAAGACGACCGAAUCCGAUUAGUGGGCGCACAAAAAUUUGGUGCCCAUGAGCGGUCUUGAGAGUUGUGGGCCAAUGGGAUCCUGACACCAAACGUGGGAGCCAUGGAGCUCUAACUUGCAACCUCCACCAGAUCUGCAUCCCUCGCUCCCGGUAGUUGAGAGAGAUGGGAUAGAAAUAGAGAGAAGGGGAAAGGACAUAGGAGGGAGAGACAACGCGGUGGAUGGUAGAUAAGAUUGAGACUGGGAAGAAGAAGGCCGGGGGUGGGAUCAAGGGCCCACUGCGCUGAGCUGAGCACCGCCGUCGCACUCCUCGGCCGGCGAGGCCCACGCGCCCGCCGGAGCCCCGCCCGUAGGGGCGGCGUCGGCCGGAGCUGUGCCUGCUCGGCGAGCUGUGCUCGUGGGAGCCGCGCCCGGUGGUCUGUGGUGGAGGGGGAGGAGAACGAUGGCAAGAACUGCGUGGGCGGCGUGGCGAGAGGAAUGAGGAGGGGAUUAGGGUUUGGCUGUUUGGGCCAUGUGGGGGGCUUUCUACAAAAUGUCCAGGGGAUCAUGCAAAGCAGUAUGAAAAAUACUGAGUAUUUCAACGCGCGCACUGUUUUACUAUUUGGGGGUGCCAAACUGGAUUGCCGAUUGAUUUCCAAAAAAAUGGUGGGUGUUUUUGGAAAAUAUACAGGGACGCGUGUCAUCACGUGGAGACGCCACCAAUGCUCCGAAUGCUGCGGUGCCUCCAAUCUGGAGGGACUUUUAAUAACUCUUGAUAGUUGAAGACUCUAAGCAGGUCAGGACAAGAAGAAGACAACGCAACCACAACCAGAGGAGGCAAAUCAUCAAGGAGUGAUGGGCAGACUACGAAGGAGAAGUAGUAAGGUCUGAAGACUUAUAGCUUGAACAGAACUGUCCUGAGGAGACCGUAGCACCGAGUCAGGUAUAGAGAGAGAAUAUAGUUAUACACGAAGAGGAGGCGCUGCCGGAACCACCGACUACGCCAUCCAGCGAAUCCCAGGACGACUGAGAAAAUGAAGAGUCCUGUUCGGAGAACUUAAAAACACCGAACACCUUGCCUAGAGCUUUGUUGUCUAUUUGAGCUCCACAGAAUUCAAGGAUCAAAGAAGACUAGUGUUGACGGUCCUUAAUGCUCACAUUUAACCGUCAACUAAUCAUGGAAAAGGAUCCAAAUGCAACCAACACCUAGACUUAGGGUUUUAUCUGACAGAAUUCCACGAGUUUUGGUGUUUGUCUAUUUCUGCAGGGGGUUAUCAGGAAAUAUGAAAGAAAGGCCCACACGUCGGGUUUACAUAGAGAUAUUAACGUGCCGCACAAUUAUCUACCAUCUAGAAGACUCCAGAAGCCACGGGACCGAAGCGGAGGCCGAGAGGGCUCAGGCACUGGGCGCCCGCCCUACCUUACUGGGCGCCCGCCCUCCCCCCUGGACCAAACAGAGUCCAAUUCGGGGACAACACUCCACCGACCUAAUACUUCAAGGAAAACCACACGAUCAAUGUCAGUUUGAUCCGACGGCCUAGAUUCACUUGAAGGGACUAUAAAACCAGACCCCCCUGGCCCCUAGAGAUCAUACCUCUUCUACAAAAUCAAAGCUAGGGUUUCAAUUCUUCAUCCAAGUAGAGAGGAUCCCUCUAGUUCUUCUAGUUCUACCUCUAGUUCAUCUAGAUCUAGUUCUAGUUCAUCUAGUUCUAGUUCUAGUUCUAGUUCCUCUAGUUCUAGUUCUAGUUAGUUCUAGUUGUAAUCUAGAAAAUAGGGAGAGAGAAGAGGAGAGCGGAGGAGGAGCCGGAUCUGUCGGAUCUUCCUCAACAUUAUACUUUUGCAGCAUCUGGUUCGUUCUUCAUCGUUCUCCAGGUUCUUCAAUUCAUAAUUCCUGAGUUCUUUAAUUACUUUUAUUUACAUUCAAGUUAUUUAUUGGAUUCCCGCUUGCAUCAAGUGCUCUAGUCUUUAUAACGCUAGAGUAUUAAUUAAUAGAUUAGACGUGGUGUUUAGUCUUGCGAUUACCUAGAAUUGCACCCAAUCCUACGGAUUGUUGUGGUAGCCUUAGGGUAGUGACAGCCCUAACGGUCGACGUAUUCCACCACGUUCGGAUCGGUGUUUGUAGGACCGUAGUCAGACCUUCCUAGCCCCCUUCUCAUCUCUUUCUGUGGUUAGUGCUCUGAUGUCCCGAAAUAGAUAAUCUUGAAGUAAUUCUUGAUUCUUAGAUCAACUAGAGAACUCUCAGGAAACUUCCUCUCUUCCCACCAAAAACAAUUAUAUAGUUAUCCUUGGGCGAUCUUGAUUCUUAAUUAGUACACUCACGUUCCCUGUGGAAAAUCGAUACUCUGGAAUACUCCCGGGUGAAGGAUACAUCGGUAUCCGUGCGCUUGCGGAUUUUUCUGUUUGCGUUUAAAAUACCCAACAAGCUUUCUGGCGCCGUUGCCGGGGAACGAUAGCUGUGCUAGUUUCGAACCAAGUCGUCCGUGUAUCCUUUUUCUUUCCCUUUUUUUUACCACGCUCACCUUACCAUUUUCACCACACCACAUGGAUUUCACUCUAAGCAUUAAUGAGCAUGGAAUUUAUUUCAUAGCCACUUCAUUUACUCCGUGCUCAUAUGCAACAUCUUCCCAAUCCAUUGGUUUUUCCAACAUCACCACAUUCGAGAUCUCCAACCCCCACUUCCUUUCUAUUUAUAAAAACUUUAAAAGGGCGGUUGUCGAUGCAUAUGUCUAUAAUAAAUUUUGCAGAUCUCGUUGAGUUGAUCUUGAUAUAGGUCAGCGUUGGAGGGGAAACCACUUCGCCGACAUAAAUUAAUGGUUUCCCAAGGACAAGUUUAGUGUCCUAAAAUAAGCACUGAUCAGACCAUAACAUAAACUUUUAAUUAUUUGCAACAUUACCUUGUGUGUUGAGCAUAUCAGGAUAAUUGUAAAAAUAUUCCUUCGGGUAUUCUUGUCACUAACCUUUCCAGGAUUGGAGCAAGAAGAUCGAAUGAAUGACAAGCACAAGGUAUGUACAACCAAUCAUCAUACAACAUUGAAUUAAAUUCAUCCAAACUUGAAUUUUGCAAAAUUCAAGCUUGGGGGAGUACUUUACAUAAAAACAUCCUUUGCCCUGUUGCUAUGUUGGUUGUCCCUACCUUUAAGACAUGCUCAAUUUUGUUAAAUACUAAUCACACUACUUCAUCUCCACUUGAGUAGAUCUCUAUAAAUGCUUUCAUGCUACCUUUAUUUGCUUUAUUAUAUGUCUAGGCUUGGAGUAGUUUCAUUUAUAUCUUAAUUAAGCAUGGUGCUUAGUUUAGGAAUGAUGAUCUUACUUCCAAAGGAUUUUAAAUUAAGCAUGAUGCUUAGGUUAAAAUUCCCUCCUAAAUCAAAUUAGACAUGGUGUCUAGGUUGAUCUUUGAGCCGAUAGUAUGCUAUAGUAGAUAUUGGAUAUUUUAUUGGACUAACCCCUGCAGGAAAACUUUCAAUAUCGACCUGGGAUGUCCUGAGACAAACUCACAUUGGAGACAAAGAGAGAGACACAUGAAGUUUAACAAUUUGCACGAGGAAGGCAUAGCUCACAAGAGAUGAUCCAUGGAGGGUGCCACAAACACGAUGCACAACCGCUAAGAGAGGAAAGCUUCCACAAGGUGAUACUGUACCAUCACUCUUCGAGUAAGGUAACAUCUUAAGGUACACUUGGAGCAAAAUAUGAAGGACUUUUACAACUCCCAGACUCCACCAAGUGAAGAACCUAGAUCUACAAGCACAAACACACUGGAGAUACUGGACACUCAGGCAAUCACUGCCCUGAGAUGCUUGAGGACACAACUACUGGAGUAACCCCAUUGUGGAAGUAAUUACUGACCUUCUGCCGGUCAAGAGAGACAAUCCAGGACGCCCCGUCAUCCCGAUCUCCAUCGGCAUGGUAGACUUCCUAGAAGCACUCUGUGACUUUGGCUCUAGCAUCAACAUUAUGCUCAGGCUUGCAGAUUAGACACUAAGUUCCCCAAAAGGGAAUAUUGAAGAACCUCUGCGUCCGAGUUCGUACCUUGUACGCCCCAGUAGACUUCGUGGUGAUAGAGACUGGUACUGAUGAGAGGGCACCUAUCAUCCUAGGGAGACCAUUCCUGAACACCUCGGGAGCUAUCAUCUACGCUAGUGCUGCCAAGAUCAGUUUCUACAUCAAGAGAAGGAAGGAGACGUUUUCCUUCGAGAACAAGAUUACACAAAUCUCAGAGCAAUCCAGACAUGAACCAAGGAAGAGGACCAACAGGAGGAACAGAAACAAGCAAAUGUGGACCGAGUCAGCUAAGAUGGUCACUACAGUUCAAGGAGGUCAAGAUCGUCGACUUAAGUCACCGUUCCUGACCAAAAAGGACGACCCAGUCACCUAUCAGCUCCUGUUCGGAACCAUGCCCCUACAACCAAAAUACAUUCAGCUCUAGAUGAUUUUAAGGUUAUUGACAUGGGAGAAGACAAGUAUGAUCCACCCAUCAUCCUUACAAGACAGUUCCUCAGCACCGUUAAAGCAAUCAUCUACAUUGGAACCAGAGAAGUCCACAUGCAUUUUUCCUCUGAGAAGGUACACCACUAUUUUACUGACCCUAACUAUAAAGUUGAAGACUUUAAGCAGGUCAGGACAAGAAGGAGACGACACAACCGCAACUAGAGGAGGCAAAUCAUCAAGGACGGAUGGGUAGACUACGAAGGAGAAGUGGUAAUGUCUGAAGAUAUACGACUUGAACAAAACUGUCCUGAGGAGACCGUAGCACCGAGUUAGGUGUAGAGAGAAGAUAGUUAUACACGAAGAGCAGACGCCGCCGGAACCACCGACUACGCCAUCCAGCGAAUCCUAGGAUGACUGAGAAAACGGAGAGUCCCGUUCGGAGGACUUAAAAACACCGAACGCCUUGCCAAGAGGUAAACUUGGUAGUUAUCUUUUCCUUUCAACUGUUUUAAAAUAGUUUACUUAGUUAAUCAGGUUUAUAUCAUCUUGAAAAGAAAAUAAAAAUGUUAAAAAUAGUAAGCCCCAUGUGAGUAUGCUCAUGGCAUAAAACCCAUAAGUACAUUAACUAUGGUGGCAUAAAAAAAUAAAAUAAAUAUAUUCCUGUCCUAUAAAAAUGAAAAUAUAAAAAUAAAUUUAUGAUCCUACCAAAGAAAGUAAUAUUUAUUGAGGAGGCUCAACAUGAUAAAGGCUAGAUAUUUAUGCUAACACUUAACUAGUACCACAAAGCUUUGUUGUCUAUUUGAGCUUUGCAGAAUUCAAGGAUCAAAGAAGACUAGCAGACGGAGGACAUCCUAAUCGCUGUCAGGGUGCUGCCGACAUACCUCCGCCACCUGCUGGCUACAUCAGAAGAAAUUGCGUCAAAAUUCAGCUUGGGGGAGAGCACCCCCAUUUAUCCAGCUAAGUAUUCUACUCACGUUUAUACUUUACUCUAAUAAUAAAAAGAUGCAUAAUCAUAGAAACCCAAAUAAAGAUUUUGUGCUUAUAUAUAUCUUUGCUUAGUUUGCUAAAUAAAUAAAUAAAGUUUGCUAUGAACCCUCAUGAUAAGCUCUGACAUGGAAAUGAUGAAUAGUUGCUCUACCAUGACUAGUUCUCAAAAUUGAAAUCUCUCUCAAGUUUAGGCAUAACUGUUAUUAAUUAAGUUUUGCUCUAAACCUGAACUUGUGGGGAGAGUACUUGAUCUGAAGUCUAAGUCGUUAACGGAUACGAUAUGGGAAGGUUGAGCUGUUGUUUAUCUGUUCCUAGAGAUGCUAGAAUUCUGGAGAAUUUUAUCUUUUAAAAUCUUUAAAAUGUUGCAUGAUGAGUGUUUAAAUUCCUACCACAGCCAUAUAUACAUGCUUGCUAGACUUUGAGCCACACAUUUACUUUUUACUGCUUAUGAGCAUUGAGUGUGGUCAAGCUGUGUAGACCCUUAGGAGCUUGUCAUGUGGUUAAAUCAAGAUUCACUUGCACAUUCACUCAUACAUGCUGCUUCUACUCAUGAAGUACCAUCCACAUAUAUCCACUUCCAUCUCCAGAACCACCCAAAAAUAUUCUACUCCUAAACUGGGAGAGAAUAGCCAAAAACAUUUCUGUUUUUCCCCUGUGAAAUAAAUGCUCAAGUUAUCUUGGUUACUACCACUUGCUACAUUAUUUCAAGAGAUGAGUGCUCUAAUAAAAGAGAGGAAAAAAAAGAAAGAAUACGAGGAAAUAAAAAGGGGCAAGUGCCCGGUGUUGACACUAACUAACACCACUUAGAUACUAGGUUGUCAUCCCUAGCAUGGCGCCAGAGUGUACAAAGGUAUUUAUAAAUGUAAAGGCUCUCUAGAAAAUAAUCUAUUCUAUCCGCAAGCGCACAGAUAAAAC
rnacentral:lncRNA from 1 species